UCCUCACAUAUUUUAUAUAUAUUAUAUAUAUGUGUGUAUAUGAAAAGUGAAGGUCUUAGUCACUCAGUCGUGCCCAACUCUUUGUGUCCCUAGGAUUGUAACCCGCCAGACUCCUCUGUCCCUGGAAUUGUCCAGGCAGGAAUACUGGAGUGGGUUGCCAUUUCCUCCUCCAGGGGUUCUUCCCGACCUAGGGAUUGAACUUGCAUCUCCUGCGUUGCAGGCAGAUUCUGUACCAUCUGAGCCACUUGUAUAGUGCGUGUGUGAGAGAGAGAGAACAUUUGAGUUCUGCUCUUAAAUUUCAAUUAUACAAUACAAUGCUAUCAACUAUGGUUAAUAAUUAUUCAUUUACUAUGUACAAGGCACUGUGCCAAAUGCUUUAAAUAAAUUAUUUAAUCCCGAAAAGAGCUCUCUUGCUCAGGUGAGGAAACCUGAGGUUCAGCAAGGCUAAGAAACUUGCCCAAGGUCCUGACAGCUGGUCACCUGCAAGUCCAGGUCCCGAGCCCAGGCUGGAGCUUUUUCUCCCUGGUUAGCGGUGCUGAGGGAAUGAAAACAAACACAGGUGGGUCCAGAUUCCUUCUGAGGAACCUCUUGUCUUGUCUUUGAAGGCUCAACCACAGGAAUUAUCUCUUGGAGUCACCUCACAAGUACAGUGUCGCUGACCUCCAGCAGAUCGCGGACGGGGUGUACGAAGGCUUCCUCAAGGCCCUGAUCGAGUUUGCCUCCCAGCACGUCUACCACUGCGACCUGUGCACCCAGCGCGGCUUCAUUUGCCAGAUCUGCCACCACCAUGACAUCAUCUUUCCCUUUGAGUUUGACACCACAGUCAGGUGCGGCGAAUGCAAGACCGUCUUCCACCAGACCUGCCAAGCUGUGGUCAAGAAGGGCUGCCCCCGCUGUGCCCGCCGGCGCAAAUACCAGGAGCAGAGCAGUCUCACCUAAUCCCACCUCUUGUCCCCACCCGGGACCCGGGGCUCAGCCAUCCCAGCCGGGUUGGCCACCAGCCUGGCCACACUCUCAAGGUGUCACAGAGCCAAAAAGACUCUCAGAUGAGUCCAGAGCACUGGCCUACGAGACGGAGCCCCGGGAACCCCUGAUGACACCUCCUGCCCCCCACCCAUCUGCUCCAGGAGGCCCAGACACCAGCAGGUGCCCCCUGUCCAAUGGUGUGGGAGGAAGGGGCCUUUGCACUAAUCAGCCCAGCUCCCCUCACUGACACCCCAUCCCCAUGAGGGCUGUUCACCACUGUGGAAACAAGACUUGGGGAGCAUUUUCAAUUCCACAUUCCUGAUUAAAAGGUCUAGUUUUUUUAAGGUGGGUUUUUUUUCCCUUCAUAUUUCGACAGAAGAUAUUUUUUUAUUCUUGACCCUCCACAAGUCACCCAAGAAAUCCAGGCAUUCUCACCCUGAGCAAAUGUGUAGAAACCACUCAGGCCCAGCCUGGAGGUGGGUGGUGGCUGGGUGGAUGGGCCCCCCAGGACAGAGCCCACCAGCUGGCGGGUGCCUUUCCUUCGCCCUCACCAGGCGCUUGCUGCUGGCAGCUCCUGAACAACGUGCCAAACUGCCGUGGGCCAGGCAGGCUCAGUCCUGAGGACCACGUUCUUUCCCCUCCUCAGCCCCAUCUGCUCCCUGGUCCCCCCUCCACCUGGAAAGCCCUUCAAUUUCUCUGUGUCAAAACCCACCCCCCACUGCUCCUGCCGCUCUCCUAUAGCCUGGGAUCUUGGUCCCGAAGGAGGAGGGCUAUGACUCGGAACCAGCACUGUCAGCACUUUGAGCCUUCCUUGGUCCAGGGAAAGGUCGUCAUCUAGCCCACCCCUCAGCCCUCUGCCCUCCUCACUCC
ensembl:lncRNA